GGCUUGAUAGCUCAACUGUUAGAGCACUGCACCAGCAUUGCAGAGGUGAGGAUUCAAGCCCCAUUCAGGCUU
rnacentral:tRNA from 1 species